rnacentral:rRNA from 1 species
UACGUAGGGGGCAAGCGUUGUCCGGAUUUAUUGGGCGUAAAGAGCGUGUAGGCGGCCAAGCAGGUCGGCUGUGAAAACUCGAGGCUCAACCUCGAGACGUCGGUUGAAACCGCUUGGCUAGAGUCCGGAAGAGGAGAGUGGAAUUCCCGGUGUAGCGGUGAAAUGCGCAGAUAUCGGGAAGAACACCCGUGGCGAAGGCGGCUCUCUGGGACGGUACUGACGCUGAGACGCGAAAGCGUGGGGAGCGAACAGG